GAUUAUAGAUUUGCAGUUUAUGGGCUAUGAUCGGCGUUUAUAAUCGUUUUGUGACGGAGGACAUUUCCAAAUCCUUUACUUUAUUGGGGGCAAACCAACUGUGUUUGCAUAUUCCCAAGUUAACGUCGCAUACAAAUGUUCGUCGACGUUGACGGAUCUCUCGUUUGGGAGUUUCUCCGUCGAUCUUGUCUCAUAUUCCAUCGCCUUGUGGAGCAGCGUUGCUGCUAUUACUUCUUGGGACUGGCCAUGAGACGUGCUUACGCUGCUACCCUUGGGACCAGAGCUUCUCAAAAAUGUAUUGCUGGAAGCAGUGGAUUUCGUUUUGUUGUGUUUGAACUUUCACAAUAAAAUGCAUUUGUAGUGUUGUUCCGUAAGGACUGUUUUACAGAACACAGAGCAACGCAACAAAUGCAUUCUAAUGUGAGGUUUCUAGAUCCUAUGCUGAGUCGUGUGGAUGAAUUUGUGGCUCCAAAAGUCAUGCUUCAAAAUAGGACCUUGAACAGCACUAUAAAUGUGUUAUGAUAUUAAGGCCUCCAUGACCCUAUGGCGUUGGGCAUGGUUACAAGCUGGUUUUAUUUUGGAGGUAAUAAUGUAACGGAAUCUCAUCCGUACUUGAGUUUUGGUAAGAAACAUUGAAUUGGUUUAUUUAUUUGUUAUGUUCUCAACCCUAAGUGAAAGAUCUAACUUAUACUAACUUAUACUUAAAAGUUUAAAAUUGAUUUUGCUUGCGCCUAACAAGGUGAUCUUUUUUAGAGUGAAGUUAUGAAGUUUCACUGUUAUGCACCUUUUUUAAAAAAAUUUCUCUAAUCAAUUUUGACCACAAAAAACUUUUCAGCGCUUUAUAAAGGCACAAUGAAUCAUCAACUUAUUACUUCAAAUCCUUUAGAACCUGGCUCCUCUUCUAACGCCAAACAGGUCAGCUUAUUUUGGCGUUCUUGCUAAUAUUAAAUACACAGGUUUGAAAUAUGAAUUUCUUAUUUUUCAUUAUGAAGAAUAGUAACCGGUUAAAUGUAAUUUGAUUGAAUGAAAUUGGCCUGAUGUGGCUGCGAGUAAAGCGUUUUCUCCUCUAAUCUCAUCUUGCUUUGAUAUGCUAUGCAAGUCUCCAUGCGCCAUUGCCUCUGUCAACUCUAUUUUUCAGAAGCUGUGUCCAAAUUUCAAUGGCAUGUUCUCUCAUUUCAAUUACUAUAUUCUUCUCAUCUUUCUUUAUCAGUCUUUACUAAAAACGUUUUUUCCAUUAUUCUUUGCUCCUUUCUCUUUUCAAUUAUAGAGGUUUGGAUGUCAUUGUGGCAAACAGUAAGGUAAAUCGUUUGUUUGGUUCCAUUCUUUUUCAAAUGCAUAUCUAAAGUUAAGGGUAAGAACAUGUGAUCGCUCUUUCAUUUCCUUUUGAUUCCUUCUCACUUUUAAAAUGUCAAGUGCUAUUUUGUCUUUAUUAGUCACUCCUCUCCUUGCUACUCUCUCUCAUCAGAUAUUGGAAAAGGAUGCUUAUUGGUGUUCAGCUUGACAAUCUGCUAAAUCCUUUACCAGCUUCAAAGGUGCAGGGACAGAUGUGUUUGAUGAACUUCGUUCUCCAUUCCUCACCCAUUACCUUUGUUGGUGUUUGAUUUUUCUUUUGUUUUAUGAAGUGUGCGGUGAUGAGGCAAUUUAUUGGACUAGAGUUUCUGAUCUGGGUAUUAUGCUCAGAACUUGAUUAACAAACCCUUGGCUGUCUGAGCACACCUUUAAGGAAGUUUUCAAUUCCUUUUCUUGAGUUAGUAUUUUUUCCCUUUUGAGGUGACCGUUUUGAAUGUGUUGUUCAAUUAGUUAAGAAAAUUGGCUCGUGAUGAUACUUUAAUUAUCUUAGCGGAUUUCGGUGAGAUUUCUAUCAAUGAUCUUAUUGUUACACACACUGAAGCCUAUUUUCUUUAUGGAUAUUCUUUAAUUUAACGUAUUACAUUAGAUGUUGCUUUGGUUGCCCCUUUUCUGUAGUCGUGUUUGGUUUCUUAAUCUUUGGGGGCACUGAUAAAAUGAAACACUUGAACAUGUUUUAGGACAGUGGCCGUGACCAUUCAGCUUCGCCCUGAGCCCUUUCCUAAGGACUUAUCCUUGCACUGAGCACUGUGUACUAGUUAAUUUCUUGAUUGUGAUUACUGUUUAAAGAGUUUGCAUCUCUCUGGCUAGUUACUGAAUAAUUUCAGUGGGAAUAAGAUUGGAUAGGAUUUUAUUCUGUUCCCAGUUAGUUUGGAUUAUGUCCUAGCGUGAUCCUCCCUUGUUUUUGUAACAUCUGGCUAUGUGUUGCUGUGUUUGGACGAGUGAUGGGAAAAAAGAUUAUGGGCUUUAUCAGUAAAUUGAAGUUCGUAUGCUUUUCUGCACCUAGUGUCGUUUCGAUCCCAUCUUGAAUUUGCAAUUCUAAUUUCUUAUUUAUUUGUAGAACUGUUAAAAUUCGUUUCUCUUGUAAUUUGUAUUAUUGAGUUUUAUUUUUUUUGCUAUGCAAGUGGAAGGCAGUGAGUAUGGCAGGGCUGACGAAUUUUUGAAGGGUUGCGGGAAGAAAAUAAUAAUAUAUGGGUUCCAUCUCCACAGGGUGCAUGAGGUGUGGCCAUGUAAGUCCUGCUGCAUGAGACUCCUUUGGGCAAACAGGUUGUACCCUUUUAGGAGAAUAUUGAUGGACGAUAAUUUCAUUGGGGUGAUUUUUGUCCUUUCGCUCUCUAUUGCAGGACAUUGUUGGUGAUUAAUGUGGUCUGGUGUAGAUUUGAUAUGUUUUGUUAACCUUGUAAGCUUUAUCACUUGCAUGAUUGUCCACUUCGCUGGUAUUGUAUUUCAAAUUUCUUUAAUGAUAAUUUUUUGUAAUGAUAAAUUCUUUAUUAUUAGAA